GGCUUGCUGUUCAUGGUAUGAUUCUCGCUUUGGGUGCGAGUGAACACGGGUUCGAUUCCCAUGCAAGCCC